rnacentral:misc_RNA from 1 species
AACGCAUAUUGCGCCCUCUGGUAUUCCGGAGGGCAUGCCUGUCCGAGCGUCAUUACCACCUUCAAGCGCAGCUUGGUUGUUGAGCCAAUUGUUCUUUUAAUGGACAGGCUUGAAAUGCAGUGACGAUGUCGAGUCUUGAUGCCCGAGCGUAUGGAGCUCUGUCACACGCUUUAGUGGCUCAGCCGGCAUUCUGUCGAUUGUUUAUUUGGGCCUAAAAACCUAAGAUUUAACCUCGGAUCAGGUAAGGAUACCCGCUGAACUUAA